rnacentral:rRNA from 1 species
AUUGAACGCUGGCGGCAGGCCUAACACAUGCAAGUCGAGCGAGCGGAGGACGGGUGAGUAAUGGAUGGGGACUGCCCGAUAGAGGGGGAUAACUACUGGAAACGGUGGCUAAAACCGCAUACUGUAGGAUAACCCAUAUUGGAUUAGCUAGUAGGUAAGGUAAUGGCUUACCUGGACGACGAUCCCUAGCUGGUCUGAGAGGAUGAUCAGCCACACUGGGACUGAGACACGGCCCAGACUCCUACGGAGGCAGCAGUGGGGAAUAUUGCACAAUGGGCGCAAGCCUGAUGCAGCCAUGCCGCGUGUAUGAAGAAGGCACUAGGGUUGUAAAGUACUUUCAGUCGGGAGGCGUGACCGACAAAAGAAGCACCGGCUAACUCCGUGCCAGCCGCCGCGGUAAUAC